rnacentral:rRNA from 1 species
CUACUCUGUGAUGUCUGAUCUCAGAAGCUAAGCGGAGCUGGGCCUGGUUAGUAUGUUGAUAGGAGACCACUGGGAAUAUCAAGU